UGAUCAGUCCAAGCAAAUCCUUGUUUAUCCCGGCCGGCCAGCUACACCACAUAGGACAUAGCUCUAGCUCUGCCCCAUCACGGGGUGCUUUCUUGACCCCUUCCAUUUCCUAGUGCCUGCAACAGCAAGCGCCUUCGUCCUCCUGGUUGGUGUUUUCGAUGUCUUCACCUCAUCUUGCGGAGAUGGCCAACUUCCAACACAGUGAAAGCCUUUCCCUAGAGAGGGUGUUACGUGAUGUAACCGCAGACCCAACCAAUCUACCUUUGUGGUUUUUGAAGUCCAUAACAAAAGAUUUCUGUAAGAAUUACGAAAUUGGUCGUGGUGGUUUUGGAGUAGUAUACAAGGAAAAAACCUGGAGUUCACCAGGCUGGCUGAAGUUGUGAGGCUAGGAGGCUGAUGGUGCUGCUACUGGCUGAUCCUUCUUCUUUCAGUUUUUAUUCGUCAUUGGACCAGGGCUACUUCCCUAUGUGCUGUUAAUGUAUUAAGUAGUUCCUUCGAAUUUGUAGUAUUAGUUAGUUUGAAUGUGGAAGUACCUUAAUUUUUAGGAACGAAAUGUUGCUAUGUAUGACCAAGGGUUUCAUACCUUAAUCUUUGGAUAAUUAAUUAUGUGAA